CCUACGGGUGGCAGCAGUGAGGAAUAUUGGUCAAUGGCCGAGAGGCUGAACCAGCCAAGUCGCGUGAGGGAAGAAUGUCCUAUGGAUUGUAAACCUCUUUUGUCAGGGAGCAAAGUCACCCACGUGUGGGAGUUGGAGAGUACCUGAAGAAAAAGCAUCGGCUAACUCCGUGCCAGCAGCCGCGGUAAUACGGAGGAUGCGAGCGUUAUCCGGAUUUAUUGGGUUUAAAGGGUGCGUAGGCGGGUUAUCAAGUCAGCGGUAAAAUCGUGGAGCUAAACUCCGUCCAGCCGUUGAAACUGAUGAUAUAGAGUAGGCGAGAAGUAGGCGGAAUGCGUGGUGUAGGGGUAAAAUGCGUAGAUAUCAAGCAGAACACCGAUUGCGAAGGCAGCUUACCGGCGCCCGACUGACGCUGAAGCACGAAAGCGUGGGUAUCGAACAGGAUUAGAUACCCUGGUAGUC
rnacentral:rRNA from 1 species